UACGGAGGGGCCAAGCGUUGAUCGGAAUCACUGGGCUUAAAGGGCGCGUAGGCGGCGCUGCAAGUGUCUUGUGAAAUCCCUCGGCUCAACCGAGGAAUUGCACGGCAGACUGCAGCGCUUGAAUCCGACAGAGGUCGACGGAACGAUAGGUGGAGCGGUGAAAUGCGUAGAUAUCUAGCAGAACGCCGAAGGCGAAGGCAGGCGACUGGGUCGGCGCUGACGCUGAGGCGCGAAAGCGUGGGUAGCAAACGGG
rnacentral:rRNA from 1 species